CCUUCCCUCCACUCAGGCAUGCAUGCUCUCUCUCUCUCUCUCUCUCAAAUAAAUGAAAUCUUUUUUAAAAAAAUGGGGUGCCUGGGCGGCUCAGAUGGGUUCCUGGAUGCAAGCACAGAACCUGAUUCUCACUUAUGCAGAAAAGGAGGGGACUGAAGACCAUCAGAUAAGAGCACAUAACCUGAGUCUUCUACACAUAAUCUGAAAUUGAGGGAUUCUAUCAAGAGAAAGCUUCAUGGGCGUGAGAGUAACACAGAUAAUGCCCGAAAUCACUUCACAUCCAGUUCGAACACUUCAAAAGUGGAAAGAAAAUACUUAAAAAUUCAAAAUAUUUUUUAAAAGGCUGAGGCAGACGGGAGUAUGGUGUGAAAACCAAACUCUGUAGCAGAACGGCUGGAUUCCAUCACCUCGGAUCAGCACUCACCUUCCUUAGGUCUCAUUCCAUCACCACUAAUUUGGCUUUUCAAGACCUUAAGUUAUUAAAAUUGUCUGAAUAUUUCCUUUUCAACAAA